GAAGGACUGACAACUUGCGCCUCUUCUCGAUGGUGGCAAAAGAUCAAUCACAAUGAAGACAAGAAUGACCAGAGACCAUGAACUUCUGCUCAACUUGGCCAGUUCCAGUUACCGGGCUCCUCGGACUUGGAGAGUAGCACCUUGUUAUGCCAUCACUCAAGAGCAACUGAGGUGUCUGAUGUCCUGUGCUUUCAGUGUGUCUCAGAUGGCAGAUCUUCUACAUGUGUCUCGAUUGACAGUCAAAUUGACAGUCGUCUAAGACACUUCAAUCUGUCACAUGCACCGUUAUAUUCUGACAUGUCAGACUUGGCUCUGAAUGAAAAGAUUAAGGACUUGGUGGCUGGGAACGACAAACGUGGACCGGAGGCUGUUCAAUCACAAUUAAGGGCUCUGGGUGCAGAGACGCAGAGUGAGGGACAGCAUGCUUCGUGUUAACCCGAGGGCGGCUGCCCUCAGAGCCAUGUCGCAGAGGCUGCAUAGAAGGUCAUACUGUGUUGCUGGACCAAACUCGUUAGGGCACCUUGAUGGAAACCACAAACUGAUAAGGUAGAUGUAUCUUUGUGAUAGACACAAUGAUCUGUAUCACUGGUGAGAAGUUGUACAUUGUAACAUCUCAAAUUGUUCAUCAACAACUUGUUCUUCAACAACUAACAGUUCAGUAAGCAAUGGCCCUUGAUACCAUAUGUCACUCAUGUGGAUAAUAAUUGUUGGUUUUCAUUGCUUUGUAUUUGUUUUUGUUUCAAUACAAAUUUAACUAGAUUGGGUCUGCUGUAUGGUCGGGUUUCUCCCUAAGGGUUAGCCCUCCAUCUACCUGACCCCAUAACUCUGAGUUGUGGUCACCAGUAUGAUAAGGGAGUAUAAGCCAAUUUGGAAAUGGUGUCAACAGUGUGUUGGUAUGCUCUUUGACAUUUGUCUGAGGAAUUUUGUAAAAAUAAAAUUGGGAAAAUAA
ensembl:lncRNA